CCUCUCAUGGCGUAGUGGUAACGCGCCCCAACUAGAGAUCGGGGAGUCGUGAGUUCGAUUCUCACUUAGAACA
rnacentral:tRNA from 1 species